rnacentral:rRNA from 1 species
UACGGGGGGGGCAAGCGUUGUUCGGAAUUACUGGGCGUAAAGGGCUCGUAGGCGGCCAACUAAGUCGGAUGUGAAAUCCCCAGGCUUAACCUGGGAACUGCAUCCGAUACUGGAUGGCUUGAAUCCGGGAGAGGGAUGCAGAAUUCCAGGUGUAGCGGUGAAAUGCGUAGAUAUCUGGAGGAAUACCGGUGGCGAAGGCGGCAUCCUGGACCGGCAUUGACGCUGAUGCGCGAAAGCGAGGGUAGCAAACAGG